rnacentral:rRNA from 1 species
GACGAACGCUGGCGGCGUGCUUAACACAUGCAAGUCGAACGAAGUGGCGAACGGGUGAGUAACGCGUAAUCAACCUGCCCUUCAGAGGGGGACAACAGUUGGAAACGACUGCUAAUACCGCAUACUGAAGGAGGGGAUUGCGUCUGAUUAGCUAGUUGGAGGGGUAACGGCCCACCAAGGGGAUGAUCAGUAGCCGGUCUGAAGGGAUGAACGGCCACAUUGGGACUGGGACACGGCCCAGAAUCCUACGGGAAGCAGCAGUGGGGAAUCUUCCGCAAUGGACGAAAGUCUGAAGGAGCACAGCCGCGGGAGUGAUGACGGCCUUCGGGUUGUAAAGGUCUGUUAAUCGGGACGCGGUACCGGAAUAGAAAGCAACGGCUAACUACGUGCCAGCAGCCGCGGUAAUUC